UGGAGAAGCACUGAUCUAUGCCCUUGUGCCGGCACUUCUGCUAUUAAUGCUCCUUCACUGAACUAGGAUUCAGAAGACAGGGGUUCUAGUUAUGUGUGCUGUCAAGGGUCUUAACCCAGUUAAGGAUUCAGUUUUGUCUUCUAUGGUAAUCCCCACCUUGUCAGCCUCCCAAGACUGUGGUGGACAUCAGAUGAGAAGGUAGAUAAAAGCACUUUGGUGAAGGCUUUUCCAAAUGAGCAAGGUAUUAAAGUGGAAAUAAGGAAUCUCAAAAUAUUUCAUAUAACUUAAGAAAAGAAUGCUUUGGAACAGACUUUUGUAACAGAGAGGGUAGAUCAUCUAGUUCAUCAUCAUUUUACAGCAGAGAAAACAAAAGCUCAUGAUUUGGAAAGAAAUGUUCAGAGUCUGUGAGCUUAAUAUUUGUGAGAGGAAUAGAGGAUAUGAAGCAGAUGAUCUUUCAGUUCUUUAAUAUUUGAUUAUGUUUACAAGGUUUGUGUGGUAGCUUUAUGUUUGCAUUAGAGGGUCCUCUAAGUGUUCCGAAGUGCUUUUCUAUUAUCCUGUAGAGCCUCACUUCUUUAUGUGCUCGCCAAAAUCUGUGGAGGAAGGCACUUUUCACAGAAGCCUUCACAUCUCAUCGUUAACCUUCUUCAUUGACACAUGUCAACUCACUGUGGUAGAUUACAUAGUAUGCAGGCCUGAGACAUCAGGCUUGUUUUCCGUUUGUAGCAGUUGGGACACCAGAAUAUUACUUCACUUGCCCAUGGUCAUCAGAUGCUAAGAAUUAAAAUGCAAGUGUCUUAUAUUCAUUCCCAUUGCAGACCAUUUUCUACUACUCCAUGAUGUUUUUCUCUUCUUUAAAUUAUCAUCUGGAGACCCUGAGAGAAUCCUGGCUGAGAAAGGGAGCACAUUUGUAAUUCCCUGAUCAGCAAAGAGAUCGGUUAAUGCAAGUACCUUAAGCACCCAGGGUAGAAGGUUAUGAACCCCAGAUUGGAGAAAGGAUGGCCUGGCUUUGAUGAGUGCUGAGAGAGGAUGCUGCCCUGUGCCAGAGUGGAACAGGAAGCGGGAGCUGAUACCUG
rnacentral:lncRNA from 1 species